GGACUACAGGGGUAUCUAAUCCUGUUUGCUCCCCACGCUUUCGCACCUCAGCGUCAGUAUCGAGCCAGUGAGCCGCCUUCGCCACUGGUGUUCUUGCGAAUAUCUACGAAUUUCACCUCUACACUCGCAGUUCCACUCACCUCUCUCGAACUCAAGAUCUCCAGUAUCAAAGGCAGUUCCGAAGUUGAGCUUCGGCAUUUCACCCCUGACUUAAAGAUCCGCCUACGUGCGCUUUACGCCCAGUAAAUCCGAACAACGCUAGCCCCCUUCGUAUUACCGCGGCUGCUGGCAC
rnacentral:rRNA from 1 species